rnacentral:rRNA from 1 species
UACGAGGGGGGCAAAUGUUGUUCGGAAUUACUGGGCGUAAAGCGCGCGCAGGCGGUUCUUUAAGUCAGGGGUGAAAGCCCAGAGCUCAACUCUGGAAUUGCCUUUGAAACUAGAGAACUUGGGUACGGGAGAGGUGAGUGGAAUUCCGAGUGUAGAGGUGAAAUUCGUAGAUAUUCGGAAGAACACCAGUGGCGAAGGCGGCUCACUGGCCCGUUACCGACGCUCAGGCGCGACAGCGUGGGGAGCAAACAGG